rnacentral:rRNA from 1 species
UACAGAGGUCUCAAGCGUUGUCCGGAAUUAUUGGGCGUAAAGAGCUCGUAGGCGGUUUGUCGCGUCUGCUGUGAAAACUCGGGGCUUAACUCCGGGCCUGCAGUGGGUACGGGCAGACUAGAGUGCGGUAGGGGAGACUGGAAUUCCUGGUGUAGCGGUGAAAUGCGCAGAUAUCAGGAGGAACACCGGCGGCGAAGGCGGGUCUCUGGGCCGUAACUGACGCUGAGGAGCGAAAGCGUGGGGAGCGAAAAGG